rnacentral:rRNA from 1 species
AUUGAACGCUGGCGGCAUGCCUUACACAUGCAAGUCGAACGGCAGCACGGGUGCAUGCACCUGGUGGCGAGUGGCGAACGGGUGAGUAAUACAUCGGAACGUACCUUAUCGUGGGGGAUAACGCAGCGAAAGCUGUGCUAAUACCGCAUACGCCCUGAGGGGGAAAGCGGGGGAUCGAAAGACCUCGCGCGAUUAGAGCGGCCGAUGCCUGAUUAGCUUGUUGGUGAGGUAAAGGCUCACCAAGGCAACGAUCAGUAGCUGGUCUGAGAGGACGAUCAGCCACACUGGGACGGCGACACGGCCCAGACUCCUACGGGAGGCAGCAGUGGGGAAUUUUGGACAAUGGGGGCAACCCUGAUCCAGCAAUGCCGCGUGAGUGAAGAAGGCCUUCGGGUUGUAAAGCUCUUUUGUCAGGGAAGAAACAGCAGCUCUAACACAGUUUGCGAAUGACGGUACCUGAAGAAUAAGCACCGGCUAACUACGUGCCAGCAGCCGCAGUAA